CUAAGAGCUGGGCUGUGGGCACCAAAGGGUUAAUAGCUGGUGGGUUGGGAGGCCCUCCAGCACUUAGGGGCUCCCCUCCCUGACUAUCAGGGGCUCACAAUCCCCACCCCCAAUCCUUCAGGGAGGAGCAUUCAACACCAAGGACCACCCCCCCACUGGACCAACCCCAAGCCAAUCCUGCAGAGGAACCCCACUGCCCCCCAGCUACAUGAGAGUGCCCCCAGCCCCUGGGGGGGCACUACUCCGGGAGGGGGAAGCAGCACACACAGCUAUAGCUGAGGCGCAGUGCCAGGCCAGACUCCCCCCACUCCUACCCCACAAGGGAACAGGAUGCCUCACACCAGAAACCAGGAGGAUGUGAACCCCCCAUCCCAGCGGCUCUCACCUGCCCAGAACCAAGGGGCCUGUCUCUUUAAGAGUGGAGAAGAAGGGGACAGCAGAUCCAGCCCCCACAUGAGGACGGAGGGGGUGAGAGCAGCCCCUAGUGGCUGUGAAGGGCAACGCAGGGCCUGAUCCGGAGUCAUUCCGGACCGAGAUCGAAUUAAAAAAAAAGAUAGCAGGG